CCGUAUUACGAGAAAAUUGGAUACAAUAUUCUUCUAUGGAACAUAAGCCAUGCUUUUGUAAGAAUUUGCAUUUCAUUAGCUUGUAAUAACAUAGAACUAUCAAUCAUUUUUACUUUAAUAUUCAGGUAAAUGUGAUACAAGUCACCAUAACGACUAAUGUAAUUGUGUGCGUCUUAUUUCUUAAACUUUAUUCUAUGGCAUGUCAUGAAUUUUCGCGACAUGGAAUCAUUAAUUGAAUUUUAUAAUUAAAAUUGAAGAAGAAUUGCGUCUUGUGAUCAGAAUGAGAAUGUGGACAAUUAAUGGACUACUUCAUAGGAAAACAUGUCAUUGAUUUAUAACACGGCGUACACAAGGCCGUUAUUUUGCACAGUGAUAUUGUUGCUACUUUUGGUUAAACAGAGCUUCCUCGCCAACACGGGUCAUGGUCAGGAGAGAAACAGUGACGUCAUAGAGGGGUGCCCUAACUCAUAUAAUACAGAGCAACUGUUAACUAUAUUUGAAAGGGAUUACGACAAUCAAAAUUAUGCCUUUGACGACGACGUCAUUAUUAUGGAUGACGUGAAUAUUGACGUCACACAUCUACACUCGGAACGAGCGUGCAAAAGACAUAAGUUAUACAAUAAAACGAAGAAGAAAUUAAAAGGAUCAAAGAAUCAUAGGAAAAGAUUAAAGAAGAAGAAGAAAUUCCACAAAAGUGUCAGGAAACGAAACAAUAAAGUAAAAUUUUAGUGAUUGGAAUACCUUUUGUUUCUCGAAUGAUGAUGGUUGUUUAAACACAAACGCAGACCAUUUAGAAUGUUUGAGUUUUGUGAUUAACAGUCGAAAAAACCUUAACAUUGCUGUAAAAUGCGGGUAUGAUAAUGAUCUCUUCAUUUUGGGCACUACAUUACAUAGUUACGACCAGUGGAUGGUGUAUUACUUCUAUUGACAGUUGCCAUGAUAUUAAGUAAUUAUAAGUUUUGUCACGUAUUCGUUAACAGAAUGAAGUGGAAUAGUAAUGUGCCUGACUGCAAUACUUUAUAUCGCAGAGAGAUGUGCAUUCUUCCAAUCUAUACAUACAUAUAUUUAAUGCAAAUUGCAAACGAGUAUUUGUGUUUGAUUUUCACAUAUGUGAUGGAUAUUUGAUAUUUUUCAUUAUGCAUAAUUAAUGAGUGAAUGAAUGAGAAAUGCCGAGGUAUACGUCAUGUUAUUCAUAUAUUCUAUGUUUAUGAACGAAUGGAAGUAUUUUUACCUUCUCGAUACAAAUCUUAAGGUCACAUGUUUUCUGUAAGUAUUUUCCUGUUGUAUAUAUUAAAGUGAAUUCAACUUUAUACACAAUCAUUAUGACGAAGAUUUGUCGAGAAUGUUGAAAAAUCAAGCCAACUUAUAGAAGAACGGUGCUCUGAGCCAAGUGCCCGCUGUGCAGAAUGGACGCCAUUGUUCGUCCUAAACAAUACAAGGCGGGAAGAAGAAAUAUGACUGUCGCUUAUAGCGACAAAAUUAGUAUAUUGUAAUAUGAAUUGUUUAUGAAUUGUUUAUUUUGCCAUUGUGAUAAUAAUUUCAAGAUUGUACUAAAUUGUAAUCAUAAUCAUUUUAUACUGAUACAAACUAUGCAUUUUCUUACGCUAUUAUACGUCACCUCUUCAAUGUCUUACUAUAUCGUUUUUUUGUUUCAAUGGCAUGUUUUGUUCAUUUGUUAAACUUGAAACUUGUUAAAAUACUUUAUUCUUUACACUUUAUCUAAAAAUAAGAAAUGCACUUUUGUUUUAAGAUAUUUUUUUGCUAACGUAAAUACAACAAAGUAUGUUAUGGUGAUAACAAAAAUAUACAAAGUAAUGAUCACGUGGUCAGCAUUGUGUAUUAAAUAUCAAUGUUAUGUACGUAAUAUAAUAAAGUUUACAACUCGCGUUUUCAAAAUGCAUUACAGUCACGUUCUUUGAACUUUUCGUUACGUCUUCAGAAUAACGUCAGCAAAGUACAUAACAUAUAAUGUAGACUAA